rnacentral:tRNA from 1 species
GAAAUAUAAAAUAUCAAGCUUCUAACUUGAUUAAUAGCUUUAAAGUUAAUAUUUCU